rnacentral:autocatalytically_spliced_intron from 1 species
UAAAGCCGGAUACAUUGAAAGGUGUAAGUCCGGUUUGGCAGCCGAGCUUAGAAGGUAACUCCUAAGUUUAGGCAAC